UUUAAUGAAAUUUAUAAUAAAGUGCUACAUAAAUUAGCUGUAUUAAUGCUACACAAUUUGAAGUCAAGAUAACAAAACAAACUUUACAAAAAUGACUAAAAUUAUCAAUUGAAUACAUUCGACCCUGAGUACAUGUUUGGUCUUCCUGUGGAUCCUCUGAGAGAAGCACGGCCAUUGACUUCCAUGGCAUUUUGUUUCCAUACUAUGGAGGUCAAUGUCUACCAAUCACUCUUUGGUUCCCAGCAUUCUUCAAAAUAUCUCCUUUUGUGUUCCACAGAAAAAAACUCAUACAGGUUUGCAACAACAUGAGGUCAGAACAAAAAUGAAGGAUUCUCCAGAAGGAUGCCAUAUAUUUCCAACAUGUCUAAAUGAAGCGGUGAUGACGUAUGUGGGGAUGAUAACUCUUGCACAGUGGCAGUAUUCCCCUCUCUCUUUCGUCUUGUGUUUUGAUGACCACUCUCUCUUCCCACUGAAACAGACACAGAAGCAAAGAAACAGAACAUGAAUGACUUUGAACUCAAUCACAAAAACCAUUUUCAAUACUCGACACUAACUGUAUUUACUGUUAAAAACUACAUAACAGUAACUUGUUGCAUCUUACACCCACCUGUGACUUUGGGUUCUCUCUUCUCUAUUUCUGCUUUCUCAAGUGCCCAGUCUUCACUCACUGAAGGCAAUUACAAGACAUUGAGAAUUUUUAUUUAGCAUGUCAUUCUCUUGCAAAUUUACAUAUAAAACCAUACAGUAAUUCCCAUUCCAUUGCUGUUACAGUAAAACAAUCAAGAAUCUCA